CACUUCAGCCCCUACUGUUUUAUGAUGAGGGGCUGAACAGCGGCUCUCCUCAGAGGAACUCACAGAAGGCAUGUCAGCUACUGAAGCAUAGUGACGUAGACUUAAGACAGGCUCAUCCCUAGAACACGAUGUCUUCUGAUGCUGGCAUGGAUCACCCUUCCCUUCCACAAAUCGAGGUGGAAAUGAGUGGUCCAUAUUUGAAGACUGUCUCCUCUGACAUGAAUUAAGACUGAUUUGGAGAAAUGGAUGUCACAGGGGGGAUGAUGAGCAAACUCACAGAUCUGGGAUCAGAGGCAAAACAAGUCAUUGAUC
rnacentral:lncRNA from 1 species